ensembl:lncRNA
AUUUCAUGGGCGCUGCAGCAGCUACAAAGACUACGCCGGCUGCGCUCGGGGGACCGGAGGGAGGGAGGCUGCGGACGAGGGCGGGGAGGAGUUUGCGAUGGGAGGCGCCUGCAGGGGCUCCCCCAGUUCUGCGCUGUGAGCCGGGGCACAAAGAGCUCUCUGCACUGGCGCCGCAAGACCGCGGACCCGAGGAGAUCAGUUUUGGCAAAUGCUGUGAUUUCGGAACAGAGGCUGACAUCUACUCUCCAGCGCACCCACGGCUACAUUUCCCACCCCAUCUUUCCUUCUCUCGAUGACAGCCGGAGGCAUCUCCCUGCCUAACCCGUGUGGUUCCAGACAUUCACGUGGCCGCCACGACCCCACCAGCAUCGAAGGAGUAACCAAGAGUGCAAGCAAGUUUCUGAGACAGAGGAGAAGGAAGGGAAUUUCCGGGUUCUUGGAGAUGUUCAGGACCACACUGGGAAGCAGCCUUGCAGAUAAGUAUUCCAGCUUCCCAGCCCACAGCCUACCAGCCUGCCCUCUCCUGCCCUCUACUGGUCUGUGGAGCAAAGUACAGCAUCCCUGAAUCCCCAAAUCCAGGGAGAAAUCAGCGCUCCAGCUCAUUCGCUUUCCUAUGCCUAAGAUACAAAGAAAAAGCUUGUCCCCAUUUUGUGGGGCCCCAGAGAGUAAUUUUCCUACCCUACUUUUGACAUCAAGGCUAGUAUUUUACAAACUCCACCCUCAGGGACUUCUGGGGAGCUGAGUUGAGUAGCUUCAUCUUGCGCACCUGUAGAUCUGGUGUCAGGAGGAGCCUGGGGACUCCUGGUGAUUUGGGCUGGCCCUUCCCUUAUUGGUUCUUGUCCUCUGUCAUCAUAUUUAUAAAACUUGGCUAGGUCUCCUUUUCUUGCCUGGCAGUCAAGUGGGGACCUUGGCACUGUGACCCCAGGGCGCAUGCUUCUUGGUUUAAGGGUCUGAGCACGUCUCCAGCUCUGGGCCCGGGCCCCCAAGUCCAAGUGCUGACAGCAGGCUCUGAAGAUACGGUGAACGGGCCCAGGCCUGCCUGUGGAUGAAGAUAACUCUGCUGCUGUUUGCUGUUUAGUCCCUAAGUCAUGUCUGACUCUUCGCCAUCCCAUGGACUGUAACUCCUCUGUCCAUGGGAUUUCCCAGGCGAGAACACUGGAGUGGGUUGCCAUUCCCUUUUUCAGGGAAUCCUCCUGACCCAGGGAUCAGACCUGCAUCUCGUCUCCUGCGUUAGCAGGCGGAUUCUUCACCACUGAGCCACCGGGGAAGCCCUAAGAUAGCUUCGCUGUCACUGGAAGAGAAGCCUGGGAGGUGGUCCUGGCUCAGGAUCUGGGGCAUCCUCUGGUCUUCUCCACACUGGAGACACGGGGAUUUUGCUAAAGAGCCCCAGCCCACCAUCUGGCUCCCCACCUUUUCUUUUUCUGGGGCAUCAGAAAAGAGGAUAGGGGAUGAGGGUGGGGGGGUGUUGAGCAGAAAGAUAACUGAGGUUGGGCCUUCUGCUUCCCAUCCUCUGUCUCAAACUGAGGGUGGUUACUGCACUUUAGGUGAAUGUCUGGACUGGGAGGACCCUGGGACCCAGAGGGAGGGGCCGCCGGUCCAGCAUGACACGGGAUGGCAGAGCUGGGAUAAGAUGUCCGGCUUCUCGCCCUGCUCCAUGCACUCACUCAAGCUGAGCUUGCCCUGCUCUCUCUGGGGUCCCAUGCUGCUGUUGGCAGGGAACAGGGAGGUGUUCUGGAAAGCGAAAGGUUUUCUAGGGUGGGGGGAAGGGGGGUGGGGGUGGUGCGCCUGGGCCCAGCCUCCCUGGGUCCCAGGCCAGGGCUGUCUCCUUAGCAGAGAGGUCUGGCCCGGGCUAGGGAGGGGGCCUGGGUGUGGUUUUCUCCUGUGUUGCGGUUGGCUCUUUUGUCUUCCAGGAUGGGCCUGUGGGGGUCUCCGUGGGGUAGGAGCUGGGAUCAGGGCACUGCCAGGUCCACGGCACAGAUUUCAGCACGUGCCUUCAUUCAGCGCAGAUGUGGACUGAGCACCUUCUCCUGGAUAGAAACUGAGGAUUCGGAGGUCAACGUGAGAUGUGGUCCUGCCCUCUCAGAUCUUCGUGAAUGUCGAGCCUCCCAAGGACUCUGAAGGCCCUUUCUGCCCACCUGGACCCCUGCUUCUCAUCUGCCCGUGAUGUCCGCAGGGCCAGCUCUGGGCGCUCUGUGUUGCUUCCAUACACCCUGCUGGCCCUGUCAAGGCAGCGCUGCCCCGGCUGUGUCUCUAGGACUCCUGGCCCGCCCUCCUUCUGGACUCUGGCAGUGGUGAUACAGGGAGCAGUCUUCGCUGGUUUUCUGGAACCCUGGACAGCUCCCCGAAGAUCUCAUCCUUCCUAACUCCUGGGCCUCCCCUGGAUAAAGGCCCCUCCUGGUUGGUGCUCGGCUGAGGACAGUGGUGGAGCGUGAGGGAGGCUGGCAGCCUACCAUCCAUCCCCUCUGCAUCUGCCUGGACCUGCCUGCCUGUCCCCACCUCUGUCCAGGACUGGGGGCCCUUCCUGACCCUGUGAAGACCUCACUGCUCCUCCCAUCCCCGCCGGUGACCGGGUGGAGCUCGGCCUGGGCCCAGGCCCAACUGACCACACCCUUGGCAAGGCUGGGUCUCACAGGACCUGCAGGAUGGGGGCAGGAACCUGUGGAUGGGCGUCAGGGACGAGCUGCCAGUGGGGUGGAGGGGGGACGAAGCUCGGGGCGUUGGUGGGCUGGAGUCUGUCUUAUGCUCUUUAUGUGUGAGUGAUUCUCAUUUUUCUGGAGGCUUCUGGGGUUCUUCUUCCUAGCUUCUUUCCCUGAUGGUCACCAGGAGGAGGCAGUCUAGGCCUCAGGGGAGCUUGGGCCUUCCCCUAAUGCUGUGGAGCUCUGGGAGAGGUUAUCCUGAAAGGAGAGGGUUUCCAAGAGAGGAGAAGACCCCAGCCAGGGGGCUUGUGAGGGAGACAGACCCUGGGCCUGGCUCCUGACAUCCAAAGGGAAUAGUCUGGAAUCAGCCUCACCCUGGCCCAGUCUCAGACUCCUGCUCCUGGUCACCCUCAUCCCUGGGAAGCAGAGGUGGGCAGGGUAGGCUACGCACAGGGACAGCUUCCCCAUCACAGGGUGGUGGGCUCGCUCACAUGCCCUCCCCUUCUCCAGUCCCCCCGGGGGGCCAGCCUCAGUGCUUGCAGGAGGGUGGCUAUGGCCUUCCCUGGAGAAGCUCAAGAGCCUGAUGUCCUUUUCCUGGGGCAGGAAGGGACGCUGCCAUAACGGAACUCCACUCCUGGAUGGCUGAACUGCAGAAAUGUAUUUUCUUAUAGUUCUGGAGGCUGGAAGUCCAAGACCAAGGUGGCAGGGAUGGUUUGUGGUGAGCCAUAGCUCCCUGGCCGGCAGAUAGAACCUUCUUGCUGUGUUCUCACAUGGCCUUCUCUCUGCAUACGCAGAGAGAGUGUGUGUGAGAGGAGAGAAAGAGAUAUCAGGCAUCUCUUCCCUUUCCUAUAAGGGCACUGGUCCUAUGGGAUUAGGGCCUCAUCCUUAUGACCUCAUUUAGCCUUAAUACCUAUGCCAAAGCCCUACCUCCAAAUAUAGUCACACUGCGGCUGUGAAUUUAGAGGGAGACACAAUUCAGUCCAUAGCAGGUGGUCACCACAAACCUGGAAGCUAGAGCCAUCUCCCCUUUAGAAUUGCCACCCCCGAUGGGGAGGGGAAGGAGAAGCAGAGACAUGGGAAGCAGAAACGGUGCGGCAGGUCCUGUGCGAGGUGGGCCCUGGGAGCCUGGGAGAGACACGGGACUGGCCGAACCCAGAGCAGUGGAGAGGAGCCCCCGGGAGAGGAGGGUCCUGUGAAGAGCCUGGGCUUUGGAGCCUGAGGGUUAUGCUCUGAGGUGCAACCUUGGGCAAGUCACGUCACCCCUGUGAGUCCGAUUGCCACGCUGAAGCAGGAACCAUCAGCUCACCCGGGGGCGGGGCACAGGGAGAAGUCAGUGAGGUCUCGCGGCUGGCACAGCGCCUGACUCUUAGUAGGUGCUCAGUAAACACUCCCGUCCGUCUGGGAGUUUGGACUUAGGGCUUCUCUCUUUUGGGCACCCUGGACUGUAAACUCUGCAUCUUUGAUCCAGAGGCGUUUCUGACCAGUGCUUUCCCAGCUCUAUCUUUUUGUUUGUUUGUUUUUGGCUAUAUGGGGUGGCAUGUGGGAUCUUAGAUCCUGGACAAGGGGUCGAACCUGUGCCCAUGGUGCUGAGCGUGCAGUCUUAACCCCUGGACUGUCAGGGAAGCCUUUCCCUCUUAUGUUUUUAAUAUCCCUUUCUAAUCAGGUCAAGGAAUCCACUGCCUGGCAUGGCCUCCACAGUAGCUCUGAAUGCUUCCUGGGGAAUUUAGUAUCUACCCGUCUCAUCAGAAUUGAGCACCUGCUGUGAGUCCUUCCCUGUGCUGCUCAUUUGAGGGGGACAGAAGUACAGAUAUGGCCGCGAUUCAAGCCGGCAGGGUUUCACAGCCAUGCCAAGUGGAGGAAACCAGUCCACACAGAGAAUGAGCGGAUGGGCAGAAAACAGUCUCCUGAGGCACAGAGCCCGGCCUGCCAAUGCUCACUCUGGCCUGGAUUCCUCUGAGCAUCGAGCUCGCUGGGAGCUGUACCUCAGGAGCCCGGGAGCUGGCCUCCCAGCUGGAAGAGGCGACUCAAUCCUUUAACAGCCAGUGUGGAGGGAGAGGCCACGGUGGUCCCUGCUGGGGGCUGUGCUUGCGUAGAUAUUGAUAUUGCACACACUGAGCUGGGGGAUUCCCUGGGGGGGACUGGUCCCAUCCCCACAAAAGACCCCAAAGGCCCUCUUGAGCAUCUACCCAGGGAACCCACUGUUUUGCUUGAAGAGACCAGAGAGGAUGCUUUCCAUGUCACUGCCUCCCGGGGAUGCAAACUGUGGGGAUGGAAAUUCUGCUGUUGAUUAAACAUACUUUUAUGUGUAUCCAGCAAUGAAGUGUGAACUUGGCCUUUUGCUUUCACCCAUAAAUGCAGCUUCGUUAGUGGAAAAGACCAUUUUGAUAUUAAAAACUAAUUCAUACGCAGAGGAUCACUGUGGCUUAAAAGGAGUGUGUAAUUUGUGGGGAGGGGGAACCAGUGGCAUUUUCCAGGAACCAGAGUGGACUCUGCUAAUCUUUUCUCAAGACUGUGCCCUUAAAAGCCAAUACAAUAUAGAUUUCAUUUGUAAUUGUGGGAAAAUACACAUUAACCAAGUUUUCAACCCUAACCAUUUUUAGGUCUACGGCAGUGGCAGCAGG